GUGCUGGCUUCAGUGGUACAUAUAGUAAAAUUGAAACAACGCUGAGAAGAUCAGCAUGGUCCCUGCACAAGGAUGACAUAGAAAUCUGUAAAGUGUUGCAUAUUUCU
ensembl:snRNA U6 U6 spliceosomal RNA